rnacentral:rRNA from 1 species
AACGUAGGUUCCGAGCGUUAUCCGGAUUUACUGGGCGUAAAGCGCGUUCAGGCGGUUUGGCAAGUCGGGCGUGAAAUCUCUCGGCUCAACCGGGAGAGGUUGUCCGAUACUGCUGGACUUGAGGGCAGUAGAGGGUGGUGGAAUUCCGGGUGUAGUGGUGAAAUGCGUAGAUAUCCGGAGGAACACCAGUGGCGAAAGCGGCCACCUGGACUGCUCCUGACGCUGACACGCGAAAGCUAGGGGAGCGAACGGG